GUGGCCGAAGCCGAAGGAGACGAGGCCCCGGGCUGUGACCCCGGGCGAAGCCGGUGCGAGUCCGGCCGGCCACCCCA
rnacentral:tRNA from 1 species